UACGUAGGGUGCAAGCGUUGUCCGGAAUUAUUGGGCGUAAAGAGCUCGUAGGCGGUUUGUCGCGUCUGCUGUGAAAACUCGGGGCUUAACCCCGGGCCUGCAGUGGGUACGGGCAGACUAGAGUGCGGUAGGGGAGACUGGAAUUCCUGGUGUAGCGGUGAAAUGCGCAGAUAUCAGGAGGAACAUCGGUGGCGAAAGCGCUCUACUGGACCGCAACUGACACUCAGGGACGAAAGCUAGGGGAGCGAAUGGG
rnacentral:rRNA from 1 species